rnacentral:rRNA from 1 species
UACGGGGGGGGCAAGCGUUGUCCGGAUUCAUUGGGCGUAAAGAGCGUGUAGGCGGCCAGGUAGGUCGGUUGUGAAAACUGGAGGCUCAACCUUCAGAGGUCGACCGAAACCAUCUGGCUAGAGUCCGGGAGAGGAGAGUGGAAUUCCUGGUGUAGCGGUGAAAUGCGCAGAUAUCAGGAAGAACAUCGGUGGCGAAGGCGCUCUGCUGGACCAUAACUGACACUCAGGGACGAAAGCUAGGGGAGCGAAUGGG